ensembl:lncRNA
AUCGUCCUUACAGGCGGUUGAAUAAGUAAAUAAAAAGGAACAAACACAAAGCCGUUAAUUAAGAUUUAACCUCUUCUUAUCCAGAUGGCCCCUUUGAAGAAAAACGCACAUAAGGGCACACAAACUGGCUAAACCCGAGACUGUUUGUGGGUCUGCUUCUACCCUUUUGAUUUUAAUUGUAGGCUAAGGUGCUUAGGAAGAGCUCCCUAAGACAGCUCAGGUAGUUCAGAACAUACAUUCGGAAUGAAUGAAAUCUUUCUUCUAUCCCUGGAAACCUCCCGGUUGCCGCCUGCCUUCCCUAUAAUGGGCUCAAUCAUGUCCCAAGUGGAGACCGUCUUGGAGUUCAGGUAGACUUGACUCCUCCUUUCUCUCCCUCUUCCUCUCUCUCCUCUCCCCCAAGCCUCCUCUCUAGGUUCCUCGUCUCUCCCCCCACCCCCGGCCACGGCCUCAGAGCUGUUUAUGACGCGAAUGGCCGUCAAGUCCAGUGGGGGCCCCGGGUAGGGUAGGAUGGAAUGUAAGGGCGGGGCCAAAGUGUAUAUCGCUUCACCUUUCCGGUAGAGUCACAGAAUUCGUGAGCGUUAACGAUCGCUCGCCUCCAAGUGCUUCUGAAGGUGCUGGAAGACCGCUUGGGGAGAGCGAAAGCGCCUACCGUGGGAGGAUGAAGCUGUUUUCCGUUGUGUUCCCCCUGUUCGUGAUGCUUCUGACCAAGAACUUCACAGUGGCUUCAUCCUAUGCUUUCUAUGAUGAUAACAGGGUCCCAGAAAUGCCCGACUGCAAAUGGUAUUCCCUUCCAGGAUGUCCAAGAGACUUAAACCCUGUAUGUGGAACAGAUUCCAUAACCUAUGGCAAUGAAUGCCUACUUUGUCAGAAAAUUAGGGACGAACAACAGGACAUUCAAAUCAAGUGGAGGGGAGUCUGCUGAUGAUUCAGCAGACACGAAGAAAAUACGGCUGAGAGAAAACACUUUAAAAUGGGAGAAUCACCUGAAACUUUAGCUUUCACUUUUCAAGUUUCAUAAAUUUUCUUGACUCCCCUACUGUUUCCUGGAAGAUUUAUUAGUAAGAUCUAAUUGAAGAGGGGAGGUGGGAAGGAACUGCAUGGCGUAGCAAUAAGUCUUUUCAUAUCCCGGGGGGUUUGUUUCUUUCGCUGGGUCUCUCUUCUGUGGCUGUAGUUAAGAUCUUAUUUGCCGGAUAGUUUCUACAUUGUCUCUAAGUCUGAAAAAAACCAGCAUUUCGUUCCACUGCAAUGUGAGAACCGCACUGCUCUCUCUGCAGCCUGUGGCUGCACCUUGCUUCACCUGCAGCAUUCCCUUUCAAGUGAAGGUACAUUUCAUUGGUCAGGAAUAGCCACCCUUUGAGAAGGCAAGAUAUCUUCCUUUUUACUUCUAAUUUUCUAACGUGAAUAUUUUGUAGGGAGCUAGUCCUGUGCUCUGAACACAAAGGGUCAAGAAUUUGACACUCGGCUAAAGUUGAGGUUAGCAAGUCACAGAAACUUAGAUAGAAAGUGGUUUUGGGGUCCAGUAGCCUUAGCUGCACAGCCCCACCUUUAGAGUGGAUGGAGGAAUUUCCCCUUCCUAGGUUUGGUUCAGAAUAUAGAGGCUGAGAAUUUUAUCCAAGCAACAGGAAGGAUGGUGAAGUGAGUAUAAAGUUGGCCUUGGAAUCAAAGAAGAUAUGGGUUUGAGGCUAGCUUCUGACAUAUCCUAGCUAUAUGACCCUGGGCAAGUCACUUACCCUGCUAGCAUCCUUUAGGCAGCUCUCUCCAAGACUAAAUGGGAAAUUCCUCCCAUAAUCCAGUUUAAAAGAAAGUGGAAGGGAAGGAUGGUAAUGUUUAUUUUGGUCUAAAAAUUCCACAGCCUUAGUAAAUCAUAUUCUAUGUACCUUGGUUUUUUUUAUUUUUUGGUGAGGUAAGUGGGAUUAAGUGACUUGCCCAGAGUGACACAAGCUAGUGAAUGUUAUCUGUCUGAGGUUGGAUUUGAACUCAGGUUCUCCUGACUCCAAGGACAGAGCUCUAUCCACUGUGCCACUUAGCUGCCCUACUACUUUGAUUUUUAAAUUAAGCAGUUCACCCAUGCCAUCUGCAGAGACUUCACACAGAGCCUUGUGGAUUCCCAUCAUUUUAAAAGACGUGUUUUUUAAAGUGCUCUUUAAAUCAACAGGACCCAGAAACAUCCAUAGUUAUCUCUUCUCUGGGGGGGAGUCUGUUUCCCAUUGGCCCCUAGCCCCAGGAUUAGUGGUUGCCAUGAGACUCACACAACAUCCUGGUUAUCUAGUCCUGGAUUGGCAUUGUACUCAGAGCCUGCUAUAAGAAGUCCUUGUCUCUAUUUAGGUUCGAAGUCCGUUGAAAGCUAGAUGUCCCAAAUAAAGCAAUAUAAACCUAGGGUGGCCA